rnacentral:rRNA from 1 species
GACGAACGCUGGCGGCGUGCUUAACACAUGCAAGUCGAACGGUAAGGCCCUUCGGGGUACACGAGUGGCGAACGGGUGAGUAACACGUGGGUGAUCUGCCCUGCACUUCGGGAUAAGCCUGGGAAACUGGGUCUAAUAUCGGAUAGGACUCCUGGCUUCAUGGUUGGGGGUGGAAAGCUUUUGCGGUGUGGGAUGGGCCCGCGGCCUAUCAGCUUGUUGGUGGGGUAAUGGCCUACCAAGGCGACGACGGGUAGCCGGCCUGAGAGGGUGACCGGUCACACUGGGACUGAGAUACGGCCCAGACUCCUACGGGAGGCAGCAGUGGGGAAUAUUGCACAAUGGGCGCAAGCCUGAUGCAGCGACGCCGCGUGAGGGAUGACGGCCUUCGGGUUGUAAACCUCUUUCAGCUAUGACGAAGCGCAAGUGACGGUAGUAGCAGAAGAAGGACCGGCCAACUACGUGCCAGCCGCCGCCGUAAUAC